rnacentral:rRNA from 1 species
UCUGGCUCAGAUUGAACGCUGGCGGCAGGCCUAACACAUGCAAGUCGAGCGGUAGAGAGAAGCUUGCUUCUCUUGAGAGCGGCGGACGGGUGAGUAAUGCCUAGGAAUCUGCCUGGUAGUGGGGGAUAACGCUCGGAAACGGACGCUAAUACCGCAUACGUCCUACGGGAGAAAGCAGGGGACCUUCGGGCCUUGCGCUAUCAGAUGAGCCUAGGUCGGAUUAGCUAGUUGGUGGGGUAAUGGCUCACCAAGGCGACGAUCCGUAACUGGUCUGAGAGGAUGAUCAGUCACACUGGAACUGAGACACGGUCCAGACUCCUACGGGAGGCAGCAGUGGGGAAUAUUGGACAAUGGGCGAAAGCCUGAUCCAGCCAUGCCGCGUGUGUGAAGAAGGUCUUCGGAUUGUAAAGCACUUUAAGUUGGGAGGAAGGGCAGUAACCUAAUACGUUGCUGUCUUGACGUUACCGACAGAAUAAGCACCGGCUAACUCUGUGCCAGCAGCCGCGGUAAUACAGAGGGUGCAAGCGUUAAUCGGAAUUACUGGGCGUAAAGCGCGCGUAGGUGGUUUGUUAAGUUGGAUGUGAAAUCCCCGGGCUCAACCUGGGAACUGCAUUCAAAACUGACAAGCUAGAGUAUGGUAGAGGGUGGUGGAAUUUCCUGUGUAGCGGUGAAAUGCGUAGAUAUAGGAAGGAACACCAGUGGCGAAGGCGACCACCUGGACUGAUACUGACACUGAGGUGCGAA